rnacentral:ncRNA from 1 species
CCCGACCGGUGCCAAACCAUUCGUGAGGAUGGGACGGAAAGCCAAGGAUCUCUCAAGCAAAGGAGACCGCCUGGUUGCAAAG